rnacentral:rRNA from 1 species
AUUGAACGCUGGCGGCAGGCCUAACACAUGCAAGUCGAGCGGAUGAAGGGAGCUUGCUCCUGGAUUCAGCGGCGGACGGGUGAGUAAUGCCUAGGAAUCUGCCUGGUAGUGGGGGAUAACGUCCGGAAACGGGCGCUAAUACCGCAUACGUCCUGAGGGAGAAAGUGGGGGAUCUUCGGACCUCACGCUAUCAGAUGAGCCUAGGUCGGAUUAGCUAGUUGGUGGGGUAAAGGCCUACCCAGGCGACGAUCCGUAACUGGUCUGAGAGGAUGAUCAGUCACACUGGAACUGAGACACGGUCCAGACUCCUACGGGAGGCAGCAGUGGGGAAUAUUUGACAAUGGGCGAAAGCCUGAUCCAGCCAUGCCGCGUGUUUGAAGAAGGUCUUCGGAUUGUAAAGCACUUUAAGUUGGGAGGAAGGGCAGUAAGUUAAUACCUUGCUGUUUUGACGUUACCAACAGAAUAAGCACCGGCUAACUUCGUG